CUCAGAGCUCUGUGCACUCCCAGCUGAGAGAAACCCAGCCAAGGGCUUUUCCCAUAUACAGGAGAGCCUCUAAUUUAAAUGAGUGCUAUUAACUUUGGUUGUCCUCUCAAUGGUUUUUAGUUUAAAAUUAACAAAGCAUAUGACUGAGUUUUUCUCAGAGUGGCUUCCAAAAGGAUCCAGGAGGCAGGAGAGUAUGGUGAGACCUGGCAGGUAGGAGAGCUGCCCCUGUGAAGCCUGCUUACUCCAGCUAGAGUGCUCUCUCUCACUUUAAUACUCACCCUGUUCCCAUCUUAAUGACAUUUCACUCAAUCAAAGAAGAUGUGCUGCAAAAAUAAAGAAAUGGUCUGAAUGAAACCUGGGAUUAUGAAUUCUUUCCCACGUCAUGCUGAACCUUGGGAAGCUUUCCAUACAGCAGGCUCGGAGUCAGGGGACCAUUAAAAGCUUUCAGCUCGGCUUUGCAGUAUGCAAGAGACAAGUGACAAAAGUCAUCCCUUCCCACUCGGUGAUCUGGCACGAGGGAGAGAAACUCUGCUUGCUGCAGCCCAGGCCACAGGAGGAGUGAAAUCAGAACCUCCCCAGCUGGUGUGAUUGCUGCCUUCUCCAUGGCACUCCUGCAUCCCUCUCUUCUUCUCUCACCUUCU
rnacentral:lncRNA from 1 species